rnacentral:rRNA from 1 species
AUUGAACGCUGGCGGCAGGCCUAACACAUGCAAGUCGAGCGGAUGAAGGGAGCUUGCUCCUGGAUUCAGCGGCGGACGGGUGAGUAAUGCCUAGGAAUCUGCCUGGUAGUGGGGGAUAACGUCCGGAAACGGGCGCUAAUACCGCAUACGUCCUGAGGGAGAAAGUGGGGGAUCUUCGGAACUCACGCUAUCAGGUGAGCCUAGGUCGGAUUAGCUAGUUGGUGGGGUAAAGGCCUACCAAGGCGACGAUCCGUAACUGGUCUGAGAGGAUGAUCAGUCACACUGGAACUGAGACACGGUCCAGACUCCUACGGGAGGCAGCAGUGGGGAAUAUUGGACAAUGGGCGAAAGCCUGAUCCAGCCAUGCCGCGUGUGUGAAGAAGGUCUUCGGAUUGUAAAGCACUUUAAGUUGGGAGGAAGGGCAGUAAGUUGAUACCUUGCUGUUUUGACGGUACCAACAGAAUAAGCACCGGCUAACUUCGUG